GUGUCGUUGCAAUGAUUAAUGUUGUAGAUAUGUGUUUGUUCGAGUUGGAGAUACAUAUCUGGUGUUGGAAUUGCACUGCUGUGGAUGUGUUCAGGUCAGGAAAACUUUAUAAAAGAGCGUCAGACUGUGUGUGAUGCUGUGAGGAGCUACACUGUGCUGCUGCCUGUCGUCAUAACACGGAGCCACCUCUAGUGGAGAUGCUAAAAUGAGGUCCAGCUGCUGUGAGGAGAGAUGGAGGAAGGCCCGAAUCCUUCCUGCGCUUAAACAGCACCAGUGGGGAAACACCAACCGGGAGCUGUAAAGGGAUUGCAGGGGUAUGCUGGAGCCUAUCCCAGCUGACUUCGGGCGAGAGGCGGGGUACACCCUGGACUGGUCGCCAGCCAAUCGCAGGGCUUCCCAUAAGAAAUAAUGUAAUUAAUUCAUUCCAGAAAGCCAAAAAUGUUAACACAAAACAUGUUUUCAUUGUGUUACAUGCAGAUAACAAUUCAAAAUGCAUAUAUGUGAUGAAUGAAAUGGACAAACGAACAUGUCACUUUUACCUCCACUGAAGACGCGAUUGUUGACAAAGACACCAUAUGGCAGCAAGAUCAUCACCAGUGUUUCCCGCCUCAAGUCUCUGCUUUUCUUUUGCUCAAGGCUGCAAAAUAACCCAAAAUGGAGUUGCAAGUGCCAGCAAUUAAUAAAGAAGGUGGAAAAAGGUGAAAAACACAGAGACUAUUGGAUACAAGCAUGAUUACAUCAACAUUUGUCAGUUCUUUUAUGUGUUUAUUUUGACAAAUAUCUGUGUUUUUGUUUGUGUUGUUCAUAUUGUUACAUUGUUGAUAUUUUUAUAUAUAUAUAUAUAG